UACGUAGGUGACAAGCGUUAUCCGGAUUUAUUGGGCGUAAAGCGCACGCAGGCGGCUGAUUAAGUCUGACGUGAAAUCUCUCGGCUUAACCGGGAGCGGUCGUUGGAAACUAAUCGGCUUGAGGCGAUGAGAGGGGUGUGGAAUUCCCGGUGUAGUGGUGGAAUGCGUAGAUAUCAGGAGGAACACCGGUGGCGAAGGCGGGUCUCUGGGCAGUAACUGACGCUGAGGAGCGAAAGCGUGGGGAGCGAACAGG
rnacentral:rRNA from 1 species